rnacentral:tRNA from 1 species
GGUAGUUCAGUUGGUUAGAAUGCCUGCCUGUCACGCAGGAGGUCGCGGGUUCGAGUCCCGUCCA